rnacentral:tmRNA from 1 species
GGGGGUGCCAGGCUUCGACUUACAAGCAAGGUAUUAGCGGCAUGCAGAGGACGUCGGUUGGCCUCUUAAAUCAUUCCGGCAAAAACAUAAACGAUAACUCACAAGAGAUGUUGUUAGCGGCUUAAGACCUAACAGUCUUUGCUACUCGGUAGCCUAAAAAUUUGACCGAGAGUUUUAGGAUCUACUGUCAUUUAUCUUGGUAUGGGUUUUUCUACUUUUCUAAUUUUGGGGAAAAUUCAAGAUUAUCAAAUUAGACUAUCGAUCUUUAUAACGGGGAGUCUUCCGUUUAGAUCGAUUAAUUUAAGGAGACUCUAAGCAUGUAGUCAUUAGUAUUCGAGUUUGAUAAGGACGAGAGUUCGAUUCUCUCCACCUCCA